AGGGGUAAACCUGAGAAACCCGAAAGGUCGAAGGAAGAAAUUCAUUCGCGUUUCGAGGCGGGCGUCGAACGGUGCGAGCGACGAGACGUGGAUUUCUUCGCGUCACGCGCCCACCGUUCGUCAGGCCGGUCACGAACGCGUGCACUUUUCUUCUGGUAGGACGUCGCGAUCCGUCGGGCGUCAGUCUACGGCUCGUGGUGGAGCCCGCCCGUCGCCUCGUGCUGUACGGACGGACCCACGUGUCCCGGCUGACUCGCUCGACGGUAUAUCGUUUACGGUCGGGGGCCGCUCCAGCGAGCGUUCGACUCGCGGCAAGCGCGCCAGACGCGUCGGCGAUCGGACCUGGUGCCGAUUCCGACCUCUGGUGACUGUUGGCCGUCGAAGUUCUCGAACAGACCUCUUACGCCGAUCGGCGACGCUACAGCUUUGGGUACUUUCAGGACCCGUCUUGAAACACGGACCAAGGAGUCUAGCAUGUACGCGAGUCAUUGGGAUUUCACGAAACCUAAAGGCGCAAUGAAAGUGAAGGUCUUCCUCGCGAAGAUCGAGGGAAGACGGGCGGUUUCUUUUCGGAGGGCCGUCUCGCAUUCCCGGGGCGUCUCGUUCUCAUCGCGAGAAGAGGCGCACCAAGAGCGUACACGCUGGGACCCGAAAGAUGGUGAACUAUGCCUGGUCAGGACGAAGUCAGGGGAAACCCUGAUGGAGGUCCGUAGCGAUUCU
rnacentral:rRNA from 1 species